CUCCAGCGUCCACUCUCUCCUCACUCCGGGUCCUGACUGAGCCUGACACACACAAGCUCCGCCCCCAGACUGUAACUACACGAGCAUGUAGUUGCUGCUGAUGUUGCUGCAUGAUGUCAGGCCUCUUCUGGACCAUGUGAUAUCCUACAUGAAUAGUGAUUACCGACUGAAGACGCUGCCCAGGGAGGACAUUUCUUCAGAGGAUCCACAUUCUGAGAAACCACCAUAUAGUUCAUUCCCAUUCCCAGGUUUAAACCAUUGUGGAAAAUCAGUUCCCAUCAAGAACAGGAUGCUCACCAGGCAAUACGUUUAGUGCUAUCUGCCAUCUACUGAUUUAACUUAGGCGGCUCAAAGCUAUGAGGUGUCUCUGUGUUGUUUUGCUUCCUAUUUAUUUAGAGCCAAAGUGGGCAUAUCUAAUUUGAUUCAUCUACCCCAUUUGGAGGGCUUAUAUAUUGAGCAGGUAAGUAGGCUAUCUCAGUGUGUCCUGCUGUUUCUUGCAAAUGUGUAUCUAUUUUCUUAUACUCCUGUUCUCUCUGUUGUAGGUGUGUUAUAUUUUGUGUUAAAAAACCUUUAUUUGUGACAAAGUAUGGCUAAUUUUUCAAGUAUUUGAAAAUAAAUCUCCUCCGUUAUAAUGUUGCAUAUGUGUUUUGUGA